AGAAAAGCAGUGCACCUGCCAGGGCGUAUGAGCAAAACUUGUAUGGCUGCGGAGAGGGUCACCCCAACAAAAUAGUAGAUGAUGUGAGCAUAAGUACCAUGAAUUCCAAUUGUGUAAGCAUACAAUUGGCUAUCGGUAAAUAUGCUUAAAGCACACAGAAAGCUUACCAAACCAAUAAACAACCAGAACCUCCGACCCAGCUCACCUGGGGUAGGGUAUUACUAUUAACAGAACGUGCGUUGGGACUAGCCGUAGUGAUAUUCAUUCAGCACUGGAUUAUGCUUAACUCUUCUUGGCAAGGGUUGAUCAGAAGGCGCUUUCAUAGAGACAGGAUUCAUGAGAAAAUACACAGGUUAUAGAAAGAGAGAAAGAAUGGCAGAAACAACGCAGCUCCCACACGCCCAACCUCUCUCUGUUUCUGCCUCUUAUCUCACUGCCUCUCCCUCACGCAGCCAAGUAGAUGCCACCAUCGCCCAUGCUCGGAUUUGUGGGUUUGGAUUGGCCGUGCUCCGAUGGCUCGAUUGGGCCCGAUUGUGGGUUUGAUUUUGCAGUGAUGUGAGCCUGAUUUGGUGGGUCUCAGUGCUAGUGGGUUAAUCAGGUGGGUCUCAGUGCUAGUGGGUUUUGGUUGUGUUUGUAUCGGUGGUGCCGGUUUUAAUGGUGGAUUUUGGUGGGUUUUAAUGGUUUGAUUUGGUGUUUGUGUUUGGUGUUUGUAUCGAUGGUGCUGGUUUUAAUGGUGGAUUUUGGUGGGUUUUAGUGGUCUUAUUUGGUGUUCGUAUUGGUGUUUUUAUCAAAUUUUGGUGUUUGUAUCGGUGGUGCUGGUUUUAAUAGUUUGAUUUGGUGGUUUUUUUUUUUUUGUGGUGGGUUGUUGAUAACGGUGGUUGUCGUUGUCGUUGUCGUUGUGGUAGUGAUUUUGUUUUGGGUUUUUGGUUUUGCAGUGGGUUGUGGCCGUCACAGUGAUAGUGGUGGUGGUGGUGAAAGGGUUGUGGUGGCUAGUUGCUGUGAAUUUUUGUGGCGGAAGUUUUAUUUUAUUUUAAUAAGAUGUUUAUAUUAUUUUAAUGAGAUGAAUGUUAAAAUAGAGUCUUUGAUGUUGA